CUACGGGUUGCUCCAGUGAGGAAUAUUGCACAAUGGGGGGAACCCUGAUGCAGCAACGCCGCGUGGAGGAUGACGCAUUUCGGUGUGUAAACUCCUUUUAUAUGUCAAGAAAAUGACGGUAGCAUACGAAUAAGCACCGGCUAACUCCGUGCCAGCAGCCGCGGUAAUACGGAGGGUGCAAGCGUUACUCGGAAUCACUGGGCGUAAAGGACGCGUAGGCGGGUUGGAAAGUCAGGUGUGAAAUCCUACAGCUUAACUGUAGAACUGCACUUGAAACUUCUAAUCUAGAGUAUGGGAGGGGGAGACGGAAUUAGUGGUGUAGGGGUAAAAUCCGUAGAUAUCACUAGGAAUACCUAAAGCGAAGGCGAUCUCCUGGAACAUUACUGACGCUAAGGCGUGAAAGCGUGGGGAGCAAACAGGAUUAGAUACCCGCGUAGUC
rnacentral:rRNA from 1 species